UGGUAUUUUUAAUCUUUAUAGGCUCAACAGAUUGCUGAGAAUGCCUACAAUUUUGCCGUUAAUAAUCUUCUCCCGGAUCACCUGUUCUGUUACAUGUACACAUUAUUUAAUGAAUAUGCUAAGUUACAGCAAGGUAAGGUACGUAUACAUGAAGGUAUGACUGAAGUAACUACAGAUGAGAGUCAUUGGGCUAAUUCUUGUCAAUUUUGUUCUAUUAAUAAAAACAAGAAGGUUGAACUGUAAAAUUUUCAAGCUGCUUUUAAAGUGUUAAAUCUACUAGGAACUUGAUGCCAAAUUUCACUUAUAGUCUACCAUUUUAAAAUUAUUUUUGUAUUUAUAAGACAUUAACAAACAUAA